ACCAGACUCCUACGGGAGGCAGCAGUGGGGGAUAUUGCACAAUGGGGGGAACCCUGAUGCAGCGACGCCGCGUGGGUGAAGAAGUAUUUCGGUAUGUAAAGCCCUAUCGGCAGGGAAGAAAUUGGACGGUACCUGACUAAGAAGCCCCGGCUAACUACGUGCCAGCAGCCGCGGUAAUACGUAGGGGGCAAGCGUUAUCCGGAUUCACUGGGUCUAAAGGGAGCGUAGACGGCCAUGCAAGCCUGGAGUGAAAGCCCGGGGCCCAACCCCGGGACUGCUCUGGGAACUGUGCGGCUGGAGUGCAGGAGGGGCAGGCGGAAUUCCUAGUGUAGCGGUGAAAUGCGUAGAUAUUAGGAGGAACACCAGUGGCGAAGGCGGCCUGCUGGACUGCAACUGACGUUGAGGCUCGAAGGCGUGGGGAGCAAACAGGAUUAGAUACCCGAGUAACA
rnacentral:rRNA from 1 species